GAUCGUCGUCUCAGGGUAAGUCGGGACCUAAGCCGAGGCGGAAAAGCGUAGGCGAUGGACAACAGGUUGAAAUUCCUGUACCGGUGUGAAUCGUUUGAUCGAUGGAGUGACACAGUAAGGUAGGUCAGCACGCGAUUGGAAGAGCGUGUUUAAGCAGGUAGGUUGAGCUAUAGGUAAAUCCGUAGUUCUAAAAGCUGAGAUGUGAUGACGAGUGACUAGCAAUAGUCGCGAAGUGAUUGAUCCUACACUGUCGAGAAAAGCUUCUAGGUAGAGACACAUCGCCCGUACCAAAACCGACACAGGUAGGCGGGGA
rnacentral:rRNA from 1 species